UAUUUAACAUCUGAUUUUUCCUCAAGCAUUUCUAGGUGACCGUAACUUUCAGAUUUUGGUGUAAAGUCUAAAUCAUCCUUUUUAUUCUGUGUGCUCACUCCAAUGUUAAUAUUAUUUGAUACAGAGAAAUUUAUAUCACCAGACUUCCCAGUUCUACUAGAACUCUUACGACAACCACAAAUCUUACCUAAGCAGGAGAAGCAUGACCUCCACCUUGACAUCUUAUCUUAUGAUAAACCACAUGUUAACUACCCGACCCCGAAUAUCGGAGUGACCAGCAAAAUGACAUAUCCAUGCUAGUACCAG